GUCAGGAUGGCCGAGUGGUCUAAGGCGCCAGACUCAAGAGAGGGCGUGGGUUCAAAUCCCACUUCUGACA
rnacentral:tRNA from 1 species